GACGUAGGGGGCGAGCGUUAUCCGGAGUUACUGGGCGUAAAGCGCCCGUAGGCGGUACCACGCGUUUUUGCCUGACAGCUGCCGGCUUACCUGGCAGAGGGGGUGAAAGACGGUGGCACUUGAGCACCAGAGAGGGACCUGGAAUUCCGGGUGGAGCGGUGAAAUGCGUAGAGAUCCGGAAGAACACCGGUGGCGAAGGCGGUCUGCUGGGCAGUUGCUGACACUGGAGGCGCGAACGAGCGUGGGGAGCAAACAGG
rnacentral:rRNA from 1 species